rnacentral:tRNA from 1 species
GGAGGGGUAUCGAAGUGGUCAUAACGGGGCUGACUCGAAAUCAGUUUGCCUGCAAGGGCACGCAGGUUCGAAUCCUGUCCCCUCCGCCA